CAUUUUUGUCAUUGUCUGAGUUUUAGGUUCAGAACAUAUGAACCAUAUUUAUAAUUUCCACUUCAGGAGACAGGAUGGAUAAGAACCAGUGUUGAAGAAAGCUGAUCCCUUGAGAGAUGAAGCAUGACAUGAUGUACUGUGAAGUUGGAGCCUUGGUCUGAGGAACUUUUAGUGACUGGAAUCAGCAAACGAUAUCCAAACCACUAUUCAGAGCUUCCAUUCAAUAUUUCCCUGAGAAUAGUUCCUGAUGCUGCAUGUACACUAGCCAAGAUAACCUGAUGACUGUUUUCUGGAACAUUAUGCUAUUUGCUAUAAAAUGCAUUCCUCAGUCACAUAAUUUACUCUUUAGGCACCUAAUUUAAAGUAUAGUUUAAGUGAUAUCUCUGCUCUAUUGGGAGCACUACAGCUUGUUCUAGUAUCUAUGUGGCAGAUGGCUUUGGACGUCAUUGGCUAUUGCUCUUCCAGGCUUAUAAACAAGUUAUAAGAACUGAGCAGCAGGAUGACACUUUUGUAGACCCAAUGACAUAAUUAUGGGUGUAGACCUAAUCUUAGAGAAGAAUUCCCAGAGAGCCCCAGUGUCAGCGUAAAUUAGAAAGACACUGCCGUAGGAGUAUUUUUAGAAUUUCUUUACUCCCACAGUAAUUGCAAAACCCCAACGUCACUUGAAAUACUAUGAAAACUCUGGGCUUGACUUGUAGGCAACUAUUCUCUAGUCCUACCUGAUAACUGUAGGCUGAAGAUUCUCUAGAUUUUAUCCUCGGAAAUAACAGUAGUUUGUACGUGGUGUAAGACACAUUGAUACAAAUCAAGAAACGUGGAAAUGCACAUGAUACAUAGACAAAGAAAACGUUAGCAAGUGGACAUAACAAAAAAGCAACAUUCUUUCAUUUUUAUAUACUCCCAGACUAGCUUCCCCGAGAUCAAAGGCUAUUUUGUAGUUAUUUAAUUGAUACAGAUAAUUCCAGAUAACAUGCUUUUACUGCUAUUUUCAUUAUUUGUUAGUAUUAGACAUGAUUUAUUGACUUCUAGUUCAAGUGGAGAACAAUUUGGUCUACUUGUAUUCCUUUUUAGUUUCUUUUCUAUCAGUUUCAGUUAUUAUAAUAUACUUCCAUUUCUAUGGGUAAAUUUUCUAACUUUAAAUAUUAUUUUAAAUUAUCAGCUGUUAAGUCUUGAAUGUUUAUGUUAGAUGAUGUUAA